rnacentral:rRNA from 1 species
AAUUUUGCGCAAUGGGCGAAAGCCUGACGCAGCAACGCCGCGUGAAUGACGAAGCCCUUCGGGGUGUAAAGUUCUGUCAGUGGGGACGAAAUUUGACGGUACCCGCAGAGGAAGCACCGGCUAACUCCGUGCCAGCAGCCGCGGUAAUACGGAGGGUGCAAGCGUUGUCCGGAAUCAUUGGGCGUAAAGCGUUCGUAGGCGGCAUACCCAGUCUGGUGUUAAAGCCCGAGGCUCAACCUCGGUUCAGCACUGGAUACUGGUAAGCUAGAAUGUGGUAGAGGUGAAGGGAAUUCCUGGUGUAGCGGUGAAAUGCGUAGAUAUCAGGAGGAACACCGGUGGCGUAAGCGCUUCACUGGGCCAUUAUUGACGCUGAGGAACGAAAGCCGGGGGAGCAAAUGGG